UUUGUAGUUAAUGUAGUGUUCCAUAAAUAUGUGUAAAUAUUGUAUUUUUUUUGUAGCUGCUAGCUUAUAUGUGUAGCUGAAAGCUGCAAAUGGCAUUUCAAGGCAAUGUCAAUUAAUAAUUCGGCAAUGUUCAAAAUAAGGAAUUUCAGCCGACAACACACAUACUGCCCAAUGGACGAAACAUUCAUACAACGCAAACGUACUGCAGCAGUAGUUGGUAGCAUGGUCAUUCCAAAGUAUUGUGAUCCUAAGACUGUUUACACCCCAAAGGACAUAAAAACUGACAUGUUA
rnacentral:lncRNA from 1 species